AGCAGCCGCGGUAAUUCCAGCUCCAAUAGCGUAUAUUAAAGUUGUUGCAGUUAAAAAGCUCGUAGUUGAACUUCGGGAUUUGCCCAUUGGUCAGGCUUAACUGUCUGCACUGGUGUGACGAGUUCCUACCUUCUGAGGAAUCUCCAUGUCAUUCAGUUGGUGUGGGGGGAAAUCAGGACUGUUACUUUGAAAAAAUUAGAGUGUUUAAAGCAGGCGUCCGUCUGAAUACAUUAGCAUGGAAUAAUAAAAUAGGACGGUUUGGUUCUAUUUUGUUGGUUUCUAGGAUCACCGUAAUGAUUAAUAGGGAUAGUUGGGGGCAUUAGUAUUCAGUUGUCAGAGGUGAAAUUCUUGGAUUUAUUGAAGACUAACUACUGCGAAAGCAUUUGCCAAGGAUGUUUUCAUUAAUCAAGAACGAAAGUUAGGGGAUCGAAGACGAUCAGAUACCGUCGUAGUCUUAACCAUAAACUAUGCCGACUAGGGAUCGGACGAAGUUAAUUUUUAAUGACUCGUUCGGCACCUU
rnacentral:rRNA from 1 species